UGUCUUUUAAAUGAAGACCUGUAUGAAUGGCAUAACGAGGGCUUAACUGUCUCCUCCCCCAAAUCAAUGAAAUUGAUCUCCCCGUGCAGAAGCGGGGAUAAAAACAUAAGACGAGAAGACCCUGUGGAGCUUUAAAUCAAGAACAGACCAUGUCAAGAAUAACAAACAAGAACUUAAAACAAAUUGGCCACUGUUUAUGUAUUUUUGGUUGGGGCGACCGCGGGGUAAUAAUUAACCCCCAUGUGGACUAAGAAAAUAUUCUUAAAACUAAGAGUUCCCUCUCUAAGUAACAGAAUUUCUGACCUUAAUGAUCCGGCCUAGCCGAUCAACGAACCCAGUUACCCCAGGGAUAACAGCGCAAUCCUCUUCUAGAGCCCAUAUCGACAAGAGGGUUUACGACCUCGAUGUUGGAUCAGGACAUCCUAAUGGUGUAGCCGCUAUUAAGGGUUUGUUUGUUCAACAAUUAAAGU
rnacentral:rRNA from 1 species